CGGGACGGGUGAGUAAUGCUUGGGAAUCUGGCUUAUGGAGGGGGAUAACGACGGGAAACUGUCGCUAAUACCGCGUAGAAUCGAGAGAUGAAAGUGUGGGACCGCAAGGCCGCAUGCCAUGAGAUGAGCCCAAGUGGGAUUAGGUAGUUGGUGGGGUAAAGGCCUACCAAGCCGACGAUCUCUAGCUGGUCUGAGAGGAUGACCAGCCACACCGGGACUGAGACACGGCCCGG
rnacentral:rRNA from 1 species